rnacentral:rRNA from 1 species
AACGAACGCUGGCGGCAUGCCUAACACAUGCAAGUCGAACGAGAUCUUCGGGUCUAGUGGCGCACGGGUGCGUAACGCGUGGGAAUCUGCCCUUUGGUUCGGAAUAACAGUUGGAAACGACUGCUAAUACCGGAUGAUGACGAAAGUCCAAAGAUUUAUCGCCAGAGGAUGAGCCCGCGUAGGAUUAGCUAGUUGGUGUGGUAAAUGCGCACCAAGGCGACGAUCCUUAGCUGGUCUGAGAGGAUGAUCAGCCACACUGAGACUGAGACACGGCCCAGACUCCUACGGGAGGCAGCAGUGGGGAAUAUUGGACAAUGGGCGAAAGCCUGAUCCAGCAAUGCCGCGUGAGUGAUGAAGGCCUUAGGGUUGUAAAGCUCUUUUACCCGGGAUGAUAAUGACAGUACCGGGAGAAUAAGCUCCGGCUAACUCCGUGCCAGCAGCCGCCGUAA